CUGAAUCAGUGUGUGUGUUAGUGGAAGCGUCUGGAAAGGCGCGCGAUACAGGGUGACAGCCCCGUACACAAAAAUGCACAUGCUGUGAGCUCGAUGAGUAGGGCGGGACACGUGGUAUCCUGUCUGAAUAUGGGGGGACCAUCCUCCAAGGCUAAAUACUCCUGACUGACCGAUAGUGAACCAGUACCGUGAGGGAAAGGCGAAAAGAACCCCGGCGAGGGGAGUGAAAAAGAACCUGAAACCGUGUACGUACAAGCAGUGGGAGCACGCUUAGGCGUGUGACUGCGUACCUUUUGUAUAAUGGGUCAGCGACUUAUAUUCUGUAGCAAGGUUAACCGAAUAGGGGAGCCGAAGGGAAACCGAGUCUUAACUGGGCGUUAAGUUGCAGGGUAUAGACCCGAAACCCGGUGAUCUAGCCAUGGGCAGGUUGAAGGUUGGGUAACACUAACUGGAGGACCGAACCGACUAAUGUUGAAAAAUUAGCGGAUGACUUGUGGCUGGGGGUGAAAGGCCAAUCAAACCGGGAGAUAGCUGGUUCUCCCCGAAAGCUAUUUAGGUAGCGCCUCGUGAAUUCAUCUCCGGGGGUAGAGCACUGUUUCGGCAAGGGGGUCAUCCCGACUUACCAACCCGAUGCAAACUGCGAAUACCGGAGAAUGUUAUCACGGGAGACACACGGCGGGUGCUAACGUCCGUCGUGAAGAGGGAAACAACCCAGACCGCCAGCUAAGGUCCCAAAGUCAUGGUUAAGUGGGAAACGAUGUGGGAAGGCCCAGACAGCCAGGAUGUUGGCUUAGAAGCAGCCAUCAUUUAAAGAAAGCGUAAUAGCUCACUGGUCGAGUCGGCCUGCGCGGAAGAUGUAACGGGGCUAAACCAUG
rnacentral:rRNA from 1 species